rfam:Pseudooctadecabacter jejudonensis strain CECT 8397 genome assembly, contig: 0009
AAUCAAGCGCGAAAAGGGCGUUUGGUGAAUGCCUUGGCAGUAAGAGGCGAUGAAAGACGUGAUACUCUGCGAUAAGCCGUGAGGAGCUGAGAAUAAGCUUUGAUCCACGGAUCUCUGAAUGGGGCAACCCACUUGACUAUAUCUUGUUAUCGCUUCGCGAUAACGUCCACUCCGUGCCUGCUCAAUGCAGGUACAUUUUGGCCUUUGGCCAAAACACUGGGUGGUCGGCGAAGUGGUUAUCAGGAUGUAUGACCAAGUACUUUUUACCUGAAUACAUAGGGUUAAAAGAGCAAACCCGGGGAACUGAAACAUCUAAGUACCCGGAGGAAAGGAAAUCAAUAGAUACUCCCCUAGUAGCGGCGAGCGAACGGGGACCAGCCGAGCCAUGAAUGUGAAUAGAAUGUGUUGGGAAGCACAGCCAUAGUGGGUGACAGCCCCGUAUAUGAAGCAUGAUUGGACGUAUUAAGUAGGGCGGGACACGUGAAAUCCUGUCUGAACAUCGGAGGACCACCUUCGAAGGCUAAGUACUCCUUACUGACCGAUAGUGAACCAGUACCGUGAGGGAAAGGUGAAAAGCACCCCGACGAGGGGAGUGAAACAGUACCUGAAACCGAACGCCUACAAUCAGUUGGAGGCCCCUUGAGGGCUGACAGCGUACCUUUUGUAUAAUGGGUCAUCGACUUGGUCUAUCUAGCAAGCUUAAGCCGUUAGGUGUAGGCGCAGCGAAAGCGAGUCUUAAUAGGGCGCAUGAGUUAGAUGGAUCAGACCCGAAACCGAGUGAUCUAGGCAUGACCAGGUUGAAGGUAAGGUAACACUUACUGGAGGACCGAACCCACAUCUGUUGAAAAAGAUCGGGAUGAGUUGUGCCUAGGGGUGAAAGGCCAAUCAAACUCGGAGAUAGCUGGUUCUCUGCGAAAUCUAUUUAGGUAGAGCGUCAUCCGAAUACCCCGGGGGGUAGAGCACUGGAUGGGUAAUGGGGCCCCACAGGCUUACUGAUCCUAACCAAACUCCGAAUACCCGGGAGUACUAGAUGGCAGACACACUGCGGAUGCUAACGUCCGUAGUGGAGAGGGAAACAACCCUGACCUACAGCUAAGGCCCCCAAUUCAUGGCUAAGUGGGAAAGCAGGUGGGACGACCAAAACAACCAGGAGGUUGGCUUAGAAGCAGCCAUCCUUUAAAGAUAGCGUAACAGCUCACUGGUCUAAAUAAGUUGUCCUGCGGCGAAGAUGUAACGGGGCUCAAGCCAUGAGCCGAAGCUUAGGAUGCACAUAGUGCAUGGUAGCAGAGCGUAGUGUGACAUAGUUCCAUGCCUCCUUAAUCCCUUCGGGGAUAUUGGAGGCGAGGAACUUUCGAUGAAGCGGGCGUGUGAGCGAUCCCGUGGAGAGAUCACUAGUGAGAAUGAUGACAUGAGUAGCGACAAACAGGGUGAGAGACCCUGUCGCCGAAAGUCCAAGGGUUCCUGCUUAAAGCUAAUCUGAGCAGGGUAAGCCGACCCCUAAGGCGAGGCCGAAAGGCGUAGUCGAUGGGAACCAGGUUAAUAUUCCUGGGCCAGGUGGUAGUGACGGAUCUCGAGGGUAGUUCAUCCUUAUUGGAUUGAAUGGGCUGCUUAGAGGUUCCUGGAAAUAGCUCCACCGCUAGAUCGUACCCUAAACCGACACAGGUGGACUGGUAGAGAAUACCAAGGCGCUUGAGAGAACGAUGUUGAAGGAACUCGGCAAAAUACCUCCGUAAGUUCGCGAGAAGGAGGCCCAGUUUCUACGCAAGUAUUGGCUGGGGGCACAAACCAGGGGGUGGCGACUGUUUACUAAAAACACAGGGCUCUGCGAAGUCGCAAGACGACGUAUAGGGUCUGACGCCUGCCCGGUGCCUGAAGGUUAAAAGGAGGAGUGCAAGCUCCGAAUUGAAGCCCAGGUAAACGGCGGCCGUAACUAUAACGGUCCUAAGGUAGCGAAAUUCCUUGUCGGGUAAGUUCCGACCUGCACGAAUGGCGUAACGACUUCCCCGCUGUCUCCAACAUCGACUCAGCGAAAUUGAAUUACCUGUCAAGAUGCAGGUUUCCCGCGGUUAGACGGAAAGACCCCGUGCACCUUUACUACAGCUUCGCAUUGGCAUCAGGCACAACAUGUGCAGAAUAGGUGGUAGGCUUUGAAACGUGAACGCCAGUUUGCGUGGAGCCUCCUUUGAGAUACCACCCUUGUUCUGCUUGAUGUCUAACCGCGGUCCGUUAUCCGGAUCCGGGACCCUGCGUGGUGGGUAGUUUGACUGGGGCGGUCGCCUCCUAAACAGUAACGGAGGCGCGCGAAGGUUGGCUCAGAGCGGUCGGAAAUCGCUCGUUGAGUGCAAUGGCAGAAGCCAGCCUGACUGCGAGACUGACAAGUCGAGCAGAGUCGAAAGACGGCCAUAGUGAUCCGGUGGUCCCGAGUGGAAGGGCCAUCGCUCAACGGAUAAAAGGUACGCCGGGGAUAACAGGCUGAUACUGCCCAAGAGUCCAUAUCGACGGCAGUGUUUGGCACCUCGAUGUCGGCUCAUCUCAUCCUGGGGCUGGAGCAGGUCCCAAGGGUAUGGCUGUUCGCCAUUUAAAGAGGUACGUGAGCUGGGUUUAGAACGUCGUGAGACAGUUCGGUCCCUAUCUUCCGUGGGUGUAGGAUACUUGAGAGGAGUUGCCCCUAGUACGAGAGGACCGGGGUGAACGAUCCACUGGUGGACCUGUUGUUGCGCCAGCAGCAGUGCAGGGUAGCUAUGAUCGGACAGGAUAACCGCUGAAGGCAUCUAAGCGGGAAGCCCCCCUCAAAACAAGGUAUCCCUGAGAACCGAGGUAGACUACCUCGUCGAUAGGCCAGAGAUGUAAGUGCGGUAACGCAUUCAGUUGACUGGUACUAAUGGUUCGAUAGGCUUGAUUUG